UACAGAGGAGCCAAGCGUUGUCCGGAUUGACUGGGCGUAAAGCGCACGCAGGCGGUCGCGCGCGUGGGGUGUGAAAUCUGGCCGCUUAACGGCCAGGCGCCAUCCCAUACGGCGCGACUGGAGUGAUGCAGAGGUCGAUGGAAUUGCCGGUGUAGUGGUGAAAUGCGUAGAGAUCGGCAGGAACACCCAGGGGGAAACCAGUCGACUGGGCAUCUACUGACGCUGAGGCGCGAAAGCUAGGGUAGCAAACGGG
rnacentral:rRNA from 1 species